CAUAUCUGCUUCAUUUCUCACUGACAUUAGUCCAGUCUGUUCUUAAAAUCUCAGUGAUGGAGCACCUCCAUGGCUUCCCAAAGAGCAAGCUGUGCCUGAGCUGGUUCUUAGCAUUAGAAAGCUUUUCCUAAUAAUGUCCAGUAUGAGUCUUUGUUGCUGCCAAUUAAGUUGUUUUCACUUAUCUUCUUAUCUGCUAAGAUUAUUUCUUCAUUUUUAUACCAAACUUUUCUGUUAUCCCAGCCUUCUGCACACUAAUUAUCUCCAAUUAUUCAAUCUCACCUUUUAAGUUGUGUUUUCUAGAUUUUUGGUUCUUCUCAGAGCUCUAUCUAAUACUAUGCUCCUGUGACUUAACAACUUUCUGGAGGUCAUCUGCUUAUCACUGGACCCUGAUACUUUAGCUGAAGCCUUACCAGUGCCCAGGACCUUGCUGUACUGAUGGUUCUUUUAGUCCCAUUCGUAGGGCUGCUUUCACCAGACAUGCUUUCAACAUUUAAUUAAGAGCAGAGGAUGAACUGAUGCUAAGAGAAGCCAGACAUUCAGCUGGUAUAAAAUUGAUGCUGUCUCUUAAUGUUUAUAAACAAUCCUGGCUUGCAUUAUCUGAGCACAGUGAACCAACCAGGUUUACAAAUGCCCUGACAUGACAACACCCAAGCCUCCUGAGCUGUUUCACUACAAGUGCUGCUUCUGCCAACUGCAUCCAUGUCUAAAUCUAAAGCUGCUUCCCUGUUGUGAUGGACAUAAAACCCCAGUGCAUGAAUGAUGCAUGCUUGCAUAAUUAAUACCAAUUGUUUAACCAGAAGCGAUUGCUGCGUGAAGUGUUAAAACACUGCCCUGUUUUUCUAGUUGAUGGAUACUAGUGUUUAAAACACAGUAAUCAAAAUAUAAAACACAGUAAUCAAAAUAUUAUAAUUACUGAUUUAAAUUCUACUAAAAUAUACAAGCAGUGUGUCAUACUGGAAGUGCCACCAUCUCUGAUCAACUCUAAAACUGAAAAACAUGUUUCACUGAUUUAAGGCAUCACAAAAUGAUCGUAAAGUUAUCACAAUUAACAAUGUAAUUAAGAUUUACAGGUUGCCUAAUUUAUUUCACAUGUGUAAUAAUUGAAAUUUAAUUAAUAAAACUUGAGUUUAAUGUGCUAAUUAGCAGUAUUUUCAGAACCAAAUAUGUUUCAACAAUCAAAUUUGGACAGCAUCUUUUCCCUUUCUUACCAUUCUUUGCUGGAUUGUUAUUCUGCUUCCAUAUUUUCAGAUUUCCCAAUCUUCUUUUUAGUUGUACUUGACUGUCGGGGAAGAGAAUGAGGCUUUUUAUAACUUAAAAUCUUUAGCUGAUAAAUAAUAGUAUUUAAUUUUAAAUUGUUCUUAUUUUAUGCACAGUGGCCCUUGGACUUGCUGCUGCAUGUUCUUAUCUAUACCUAGGUCAUAUAUUCAUUUAAGCCAUUGUACAGCAGAAAUAGCAUAUUAUAUUCAUGGAUUUGAAAGAUUUAACAGUUUUUGAGACUGAUUGCUAUAGUCUCAUUUAUGACAGUGUAACUUCAUUGCAGACUCAGCUGAAGGCUUUCAAACUGGAAUGGAUCAAAUGGAAUCAAGGAAUGGAUCAAGGAAUAAUUUUUAUUACAGUAUGUUUUACUAAAAUGAGGCAACACCCUUUUCUGUUACUUUCGUUGAACAUAUAGCAAUAGUAUCAAGCAGUAGAGCUCCAUUGUUUUAAUGAUUUUGCAGUCUUAUUUAAGUGUGUUGGUAAAUCUCUACGUUAGUAUGGUGAUGAAAAAAGACAACUUUGAUAGAUACUUAUUCACAAUGGAGAUUAAAGGCUUAAAAUUUGGUCCUUGUCUGAAAGCUGACAGUGCAGAUCAUUCCAUCUAAUCAAAACAAAGGAUAUGAAAUGGCACUGAUUUACUAUAACUCCAUAGUCUCUCCUACUGCUCUACUGAAAGUCCUUCCAUAGAAUGAUUCUGCUAUACAGUCACUACUUUGCACUGGCUUUGUUGAUAAUUCCAAUGCAGGCAAACAAUACUCCAGAUGUCUUUCAAUAUUAACAUUUACUCACUGUGGCGUAACUUCUGAAGGUCACACCUCACUGUGUCAGUGGUCUGAGGAACAACUGGCAAAAUAGAUUUUUUGAUUUUGUUGUUGAAGGGGGCCUUAAUGCUUAAAUGGAGACAGCUUACAGAACUGGGCUAUCAGAGCAGCAGCUCAGGACUUGCUUUAUGCUGUAUUGACAAUGUCUUCACAAAUAAGACACUGACAAAUUGUCUUUCAAUGAAAGCAUAAACUACAGAGAAUAUUGUGCAAUGCAGACAAUAUUAGGAGACACCCUCCAGUAUCCAAGGAUUUGCGUUUUCUUAUUGCUUACCAUAUUUUUUCUAAUAUCUUUGCUGAUGCAGUGUCUCAUUUAGGAAGUGGGGUUUUUUCCCUUCUGCCUCAUACAAAGCACCCAGCAAGACUCUGAGACCAACACCACUUGUGCUUGUCAAGCGGUGUGAAGAGAACGCAGACUGCCACGUUACAGAGGCUGGAAGCUUUGUUAGGGGCUAACUUCAAAGACUGAAAGACUCCAGGUAUCCAAAGAGGUAAUGUCAAGGAAGGACUUUAGGUCUCCAGAAGUGAAGGUGGAUACAUUUUAUCAGGAAGUUAUGGAAUACCCAUCAUGGUCUUAACAAAAACAUAAAAUUAAAAAUAAUAAAAUAAAAUCUACAAAACACCAUAAUCAUUAAAUUAAAAGCAAAGGCAACAUACAUUUGACUAAUUGCUGAGGUGCACCAGAGGGCCUUUCACAGCCCCUUCCACUUCUACUUUUGGGGUCAGAUCUUGAACUGGUGCUGAAUUCCUCGCAUUUCAGUGGACUCUACGUGGUCUAUUGGUACUGAUCUGUGUUUACCUCCCUUUAGUAGGAAUGGGGCUUUAACUACUUGACAGUCCUGAUACUCAACAAUACCCUUUGGCUAUCUUGUGUUUAUCAAAAUUUCAGACAAAGUAAUUUUUUAAAAAUACACUUAGAUUACUGAAGAAAAAAAUGAUUAGAUGUUGCCUGUAUUCAGACUUCAGCCAUUUUGGAAUGAUGUGGUUAAAAAGAUUCUGUGUGUGGCACCAGUUUACUGUGCAGAGAAAGAUGAAUUUUUUCAAUUUCUGCCUUUCAAAAACAAGCAUAUAAUGGGAAAAAUAGUUUUUUCUUUAGCUUGUUACAAUCAGUAAUUAAGUAAGCUUUCUACAAAGAUAGCAUAUGGAAAACUGAUUCCAUAUGUUUUGGAAUGGCCUGAAUUAGUGAAAAGAGAAAUAAAGACAAAAGUAGCCUUAUGAAUAAAUGUUAUAAUAUAAAUCACAGUAACAUAACACUACUCUUUCUACCAUGUUUUUAUGCACUAGUGAAGCCUUAUUACAUAUUUCUGUGGCCCACUCUUUCGUGGGUUCUUCAAUAUUCCCUGCUGCAAUAAGCAGUAAUCUUUAAUACCUGUGGGACUGGCCUCUCCCAAGACACCCAGUGUGGAUUGUUCCCUAACUACUGAUUUCUACUCUUUCAAUGGCACAAAGAAUUCUGUGUUUUGACAUGGAAAUCUUUAUAACUAUAUAAAUGAAUUAUGUAUUCAUCCAAUCAUAAAAUGACAUCAUGAAAGCAGCUCUUUCACUGAUGUGGUGACUGUAGAAUUGCCUGACAUUAUUCUGCUAACACAAUUUGACUGGAUAUACAUUUUGACAUCCAGACAACAGGGACACUGAUGGAAACUGAUGGACCCAAUGUCAAAAGAAGAAAAGCUGGCUGCAGGAGGACACCCAGAAAAUUAAUAGGUGGAUUGUAAAAAACCCCUUUCCCAAAGGGCAAAGUCAAUAAAUUGAGGACUGAAAAAAAAAAAAAAAAAAAAAAAAAAGAACCCAAAGAUGAAAGAAAAGACACAGACAAACCAAUUCUUAUAAAAAUAGCAAAGAGACAAAGAGAUACUGAGGGGAGUUUUGGAGCACAGUAGAUGCAGGCUGAGGAGUAGUUAAUUUGAACCCGAUUAGUUGACAUUCAAUAGUUAUAUCUCUGUUUCUGCCACAGCCUUCAAAAAUAACUGUGUUGAUAAUGUAGAGUACCUCAUUAUAUCUUGUUCACACUUUUAGUCUUUUUCUUAAUCUCCACCAUAAAUAUGUUCCAAAAUACUGUAAAUAAAAUGCCAUCUGCAGGAGGACUAGCAUUUGUAGACAUGUUUUGUUGUGGACAUCUCAAUGCAGGAACCAAGACCUUUUCUUACUUCCCUCAAGAGCCUUUGUAAGCACUUGCACAUUUAUAAAGUGUAUUUAUAUAUAGUCUUCAAAAUCUCCAAAAAAAUCUGUUUUUUUUAAUCAGCCAGAAACAUAUCCCUUCACAUAUUUUGCGCAUUCUGAACUGAGCAUUUGUAUGUAUCACAGAUUGGUCACUUUUCCCUGUCAUUGAGUGACAUAUGUCAUAGGUAAAGGACUUAUGACAGAGCUUAAGGCAGAACUGUGUUAAAUAAUGCAGUGCCAAGAAUUCAGUAUUUGCACAGUCAACAAACUCCUCUUCUCCAAGGAAAUGAUAACAUUUACAUAUCUUGCCACCUGCUGACAUCAUGUUUCCCUUUCCGCUGACUCCAGUAUCAGACUAUUUCUAAAGCCAGUCAGAGACUUCAUUAUUCUGGGCUUUUUUGAGCAGUUUCUGAAGUCCCUGAGCAGUAAUUUUGGAAACUGGGAGACUGGUAUAGCUAAUAUCAUUAUAUAGUUAGUGUUCUCUUGUAUCCUUCUGUGUGCAUCUGCUGAUGGCCACUGUUUGGUACAGGACACAUAUUGGCAAAAUGGACCUUUGCUUGCUCCAGAAUAGCCAUUCCUAUUGUUCACUGCAAAAAAAAACCCCAAAAAACCCUACAAAAAACCCUCAAUCAAACUGUCAUCCAAAAUACUAAAUAAAAAGAAACAAAUUUUCUUACCAAGAAAUGAUCUUCAAAUCAAAAUACUGAAAAUCAACAAAAAGGAAAAAAGAAGUUUUUGUGAAAGUAACUUGGCUCCACUUUCUGCAGUGCUUGGCUAGAAUAUUUCCAUUGAUAGAGUUGCUAAGUGCAUUCUAUUUACAAAUAUAAACACUUGAUUUUGAUCAGCAAAAAUGCAUCAGCACACUUGAACAGUGCAAUGAUGACAUAAUUAUACUCACAAUUUCCUCUCUGUAAUGAUUUUUAAAUGUCAGCAGUCAUUUUUUGUCUAAUUGUAGCCUGCAUGUCAGCACUUCCUCUUAAAACAGCAUGUUUCUCUCUGCUGGAAUUUCACACCUCUCCACUCACUCACUCACUUCACCAGUGAAGAUAAUGAAGAUGAUAAAGGGCUCCAGGAUAUUUUCACUCCUGUGCUGCUUUACUAUUUAACAUCAAGCAGGCAGAACAAGGACUUUUUUUUUUUUUAAGGUAGAGAGUUUGAUCAGUUAAACUCUAAAUAAUUGUUUGAUAGUAAUGAACAAAUCAAAAAGUAGUUGUCGUUUUUCAUACCCCCUGCUUUGCUAAUAACCUGUCUGAAAGCUGGGGCUUGUGAUAAAAAUAUUCUCACAUACCUGCACUGUGAACUCACUCACUCAGGGAGAAGGCUGACCCUGCAGUGCCCGACUGUCUCUUGAUCAGUUCAGUGUUUAACACGGUGCAGAGGCAGGUGAUGCUUCCUCUGCAAAGGCAGCCUGGUUAGAGAUGUUACUGCUACCAUCUCAUCCUCUGACCUAGAAAGUGACUUUUGAAAUGCUAUUUUGCAUGGUGCCAGGCCUCCAGAGCCCACAGCAUAACAAAUAGGUGCACCUCAGAGCACUCUUCCUCUUUCCAUAGAUCACAGACCACAUCAUCAAGUGUAUGGAAGUGUAGCACUUGUGCAGUGAACUGGAAGCUCUGCACUGAGGUUAGCAGCAAACAUUUUCCACUCAUCUGAACAUACGCUGGAAUUGGAAACAGGGGCCAAAGAGGCCUCCUGCAAUCCAAUUUGCUUACAACUCAUCUUCAGCUCUCUGCUGAUGCUUAACUGUAGGGUUUAGGAAAUAAAGCUUAUAAUUUACUGACCCAUUUAGUAUCAAUAUGGUGAAAAACCAUAAAGAAUGCACACUGUGAAAUUAAAUCGUGAAAUAAUGUUGAGGUGUUUGAUAAAAAGUGAAUACGAUUGAGUAUCUCUGAUUACAAAUACACACCAUACACAGACAAAUCAAGCCUAUUUAUCUGUCUGCACGGGUCCCCAAAAGAUAGAAGACUGAAUAAAUUGAAAAAAUAUUGUGUAGGUGAGAGGGUGGGAGUGUGUUUUCUGAAGUGCAUUCUAACAUUCAUUAUGUGGCUCUGUGACAUUACCAACACAUGUGACUGAUACAAACACAGCUCUACGUGUGCACACAGGCAUGUGGGUGACCAUGCACAAAUUCAUAAAGCACAAAGACCAACCUGGUUCUCUUUGGGGUUCGUGCUGCAUUUUGUGUCCUACACUUUGAAUUUUCAUUUUUUUUGCUAAAUUGGUGUCUCAGAAAUCUUCUAUAACUAUUUGAAAGGACAAGAUUUUUUCAACAGUUGCAUCCCAUGCUCUUCUGAGAUAUAUGGAUGUGUAGAAACAAGCUGAAAAGAGAUGCUCCUGAGUCACCCCACUGCAGAGGGAUGUCCCCAAGGAAAUAAAGCAAACCAAAGACACUAACAGCCCAGCAAUCAAAAGGAAAACACACCAGAGUCUUUGAGUCCUCCUAGGAGAAUAUGAGUGCUCAAGUCAGAGGAAGACCCGCCCUGGGGAACACAGUGGGUGCAGCUAACUUGCCUGUGCUACUCUUGAGAGAACAGAAGUCAAGAACUAGAAAUACUAAAAGCUGAAAGACUAUGAAUGAGAUGAAACUAGAACACAGAGUCACUGUUCUAGAACUUUCCUUCUCCCCUACCCGUUCCUUUCCCAAUUUGGUGUCAAAUUAGAAUUAAUUCUAAAUCGGGUGUAAUAUGCUUGUAGGGAAGUCAGCUGCACUGGAAUGUUGCUACAAAGCUUCCUAUGAACAGGCUCCACUUCUAUGCACUGCACUACAAAAAUGAUUAGCACCUCCUUGCCAGAUUGCUCAGCUAAAGCUAAAUUGAGGAAAGGGAAGGCAAGCCCUUUCUUGAGUAUUCUGCAGAUCCAGGUGGCUUGCUGGAGGCGGUGAAAAGGAUUUCUUAAGGCUAUAUAAGGUAAAAAGGCUACUUCGAAGAGCAGGUUCUUCUGUUUCCAUAGAAAAGUGAAAAGGAUAUUUACCUGCCAGUUUGCCUCUUUGGGAUUACCUGCAGAAGACAAUGCAAACCCCACAUAGAACUAGCGGAGAUAAUUCUCAAUUACCUUGGCCAGGAGUUUUUUUGGUUCAUUGCUGAGUCUCACUUUUUUGAUUUGAAACUCCAGCUUUUUAAUGAUCUACCGAAGGCAAAAUGCCUUUACACCCACCCACUCCCAACAUUUGAACUUGAGGAAAUUUAUAAACGGAAGGGGGAAGUGGACAAAAGGUAUUGGAUUAUUGAUGUUACACAUAGGAACUAAGUUUAUGUUUUACAUUACAGUUAAACAUUCCUGUUACCUCAGACAAAUAAAUAAAGGUUGCUUAGAGAAUUACUCAUUCAUUUAGUGUCUAAGGGUGGUAGAUGCAGCAUGCAGGAGUACAGUAACAUUCCCUUUACUAACUGAAACAGGUUUAUAGCCUUCUAAAAUAAGACUACUACAGACUGUGCAGUUUGGGUGAUUAUUCAUGGCUCAGUCACCGCAUACAGGGCAUUGGCUUCUGCUGCAUCUGAAGGUGCUUGACAUCUCCUAAAGUCAUGCCAAAAGUAUUUCAAGUUGGCCUCUCAGAAAAUGAUGCACAUUAAAUUAGAGACCACAUCUGAAAACUUCAGUUGAUUUGCUUCAUAUGAACUUGAAUUGAACCUCAACCUUAAAAAAACAAGGCAUAUUAAAACAUAAAGACUGCUGAAUGGUAACCAUGACAACAAUACUUCCAAAAAACCAUAAGUAUAGCCAACAUUUGUAUAUGCUGUGAGUGAUAAUACAUUCUUUUGUAUACUUAUUAAUACCACUUUAUGCUGUGUGCAUGACUUUUCAUCAGCAAAACUGUACAUUAUGCAGGACUUUCCAGCUCUUAAUUUACCUUUGAUGUUUUUAACAAAAUGAAAUUAGGUCCAUACAAAAUGAAAUUAGUCAGGAUGUUCCAGGUUUUAGGUUUGGGUUCAAUAUGGUCUCAAAAUAUUGUUCCAGUUUUAAAACUCUGUCUUUUGGUAAAAUCUGGGCUGCAACUAUGUGUUGUGUUCCACUGAGCCAUAAUAUUGGUUAUAAUGUUUUCACUUUUUUUUCCCCCAGUUGUGACAAAAAGAGUGACAUUUUUUUAUGGUUUUGUUUUGGGAAGAAGGAUACUAAUUUUCAAAUAGAUUGUUAUGUUAAAUGUACCUUUUUUUCUAUCUACAUGUCUGUUAUUUUUCAGUCCUUAGACUAAAGGACAAUUCUUUAGUUUGGACCCUUGUUGACACUGAAGUAAUGCUUUAUGUCUCAUUUUUAUAAUUCAUUUCAUCCCAACCAGGGUGCAUUUUUAAUCCCCUUUUCUCUAACUAAAUUGAGGAAUACAGCCCUUUACAUCAGUUUGGAAAGAAAUACGUUAGUUUAUUUUGAAAUAUCCUGCCAAGGGACAUUUUCCUAAAUGAGUAUUUUCUAAUCUUUAAUUAGUAUCACAAAUACUUUUGCUGCCUGCACAUUCUUCCAGUGAAAGGUUGUAUAGAGCGAGUCACUGCAUUCUGCAUGUCCUGUGGGACUGUGUGAGGAGCUACACACUCCCCUUUCACACAGUAAACGAAAGCUAAAUUCUUGCUUUUCUUUUUUUUUUUUUUCUUCCUUUUCGUUAGGUCUGAAAUGCUAAAGCUAUAGGUGCAGUCCUGAGGGCUGAAUGCUGAUGCUCAGGCCUUCUUGGGUGGUACCAGGGUAAGGGUUGAUGUAGCUCUAUAAUUCAUCUGCCAUCUCUUCUUUUGCUAUUAUGUUGCUUUUCUGACCUCUUAUAUAUUUACUUCAUAGCAUGGAUACGGUGUUUACUAUUUCUUUGGGGACAUAAUGAAUUGCAAAAACAGUGUCCUUUCCCCUAGCAAGACUAGAGCAUAAAUAGUUCAGUUGCUAUCAAUCAGGAGCACUACACAUAUAUAUAAUUCCUUAUGUGUUUUUAUAUGUGUAUAUGUAAAUUUAUAUGUACAUAAAAUGUAGAACACUGACAGUGUGCUAACAGUCCAUUAAUUACUCGGAUAUGUGUCUUUGGCAUCAAACACUUCCAUUAUACAGCACAUGGAAGCAACAGCUAAGGCAGCCUUAGAGUGCAAAAAUCUCUACUUUGGUGCCAGUAAUGCAUAUAAUUCUUAGCUCACCUGUGACAAACUGUGUUAAACUGCAAUCAUACCUUUUAAUCCCCUCUAUGCUUUGGGAACUAGACCUGGCUUGCAUCUGGACUGUCCUCAAUAACUGUCUCAGAAUAGUGACUUCAGUGAGGCUUAUCCAUCCUGCAGGGAUAAACCUUAAAUAUGAGCUGAUGUUUAAUUUGUCUUGACUUCUUCUGUCUAGAGAACCUGGUUGGCUUCUCACAGGCUAGAACCAGAGUGUAAACUAACACAUAAGUAGUAUGGACAAGAAGGGUGCUAAGAUUUGACUGUAAACUGCUUCCCAAAUUAGCAUGAUUGUAGAGGUGCUAUUAAAACAAAUUGUUCAAGGCUGUAAAGAGACCUCCAAAACUUGAAUUUGUGAAGCUCUCAUGGUCUUAAGCUUAGGGCUCCAUUUCUUGCCUUUUUGAAAUAAAGAGCUUGAAAAUGGAAACUUUUCUUGUCCUUUCCACUUGCCUGUUCCAGGGUUCAUGUAGUUUAGAUUUAAUUAAUUCUCAGAUAAAAGGACUGGUAUAUAAGCAGCAGUUUUUUAUGAGUGACAGCUGAAGUGAUGGCAGCAUCUACUUUCUAUUGAUUUUUUUCAGUCUAAAUUGUCCUUUUCUCAGUGCGUGGAACCUUGUUCUACUUUGGGGACAGCAGGAAUAUACAACCAAAUAAAUCCCAUCUCCAUCUGCAUGCUCCCUCCUUUCUUCAUCUGGCACUUAUUGCAUGAACAUUACUAUAAAGUUACCACAAGACAGUGCUGAGGGCACAAAUGCACCUCAUUAAUUGUUCUAGGAAUGAGAAAUUAAAGAGUAGUGAUAUCCUGCAGGCUUUAAGGGAUAGAAGAAUCAUUGGAUGAGCAAUAAAAAUCUGUCAGUCUGUCCUCUUGGUUUGACCCUCCCUCUGGCUUUUCAUUCAGCCCAGGCACCCCCUUGGGCACUCUCUGGACAUGAGCUCCUGCAUUGGCAGCAGUUCAUGCCUGCUGCUGGCACCAUGUACCCUGCAGUCAGCUCCUGUAACCAAUGCCUAUUCAAGCCAUUGGGCAAAAGUCCAGCCUGGAAUCAACCACAGCACUGCUACAUCUUUGGGUGUCACCAACACUAAUUGAAAUGGCAAGCAAGGCCCUUUCAUAGCUAUCUGGUGCCAGCAUACUCCUUCCAUCUUAACUGCAGUUGGCCCAAGAAAACUUGACAUUAAAAGCACUGUUAGCUGGGAUUUAUGUUGCUGUGAUGCUGCAAAAUCUUUAGCAAAAUGGGACAUGUAGAAGCAGCAGCAGCUGCUAAGACACCCUCUCUCCUCCCACGACAAUACAGCCACGUUGUACAACCCCCCAGAUGUGCAGGGCAUCCCCAUGCAUGGCUCUGUGCCUGUGCUGGUCUGCACACAGUGCCAUGCUGAUGUGUCUGGGAUCCACACUAGCUGGGUUAGCGCAAAAUCCAAGCUCUCUGCAGUAAGAUUUAAAUUCUGGUUUGCAGAUAAUACGGAGAAAAGAGGCUCCCUCAAAGUCCUCUGUGAAAAAUUACUGCUUCCCCAAACACUUAGGGUCUUUAAGAGACAAGCAACAAACUGACUUAUUUCUCCUGUAAGUUGGGAAAACACAUCCUUUACUGCUGCAGAGGUUCCUAAAUGAAGCACAGCUGGAUGGCUGCCAGUCAAGCCUUAGUGUAGUAGUCGACUGGGGAACAAGGAUGCCCUGGCAACCACGUGUCAGUGAGGAUGCUGCAUAAUUUUUAACAAAUGGUUGUGAGCUAAGGCUGAGGGUGGAGGUAGAGAGUGAGCAAUUUCUAAUGAUGGAAAGCAAUGCUGGAGCAAUGGAACCUUAGAUGUUUAAGGCUCAAGAGCCUUCAACAAUUUUGCAGAUGUACUUACUCUUUCUUCUGUCUGCUUGAAGCUGUAAAUGCGACCAGGUGCCUCACCAUCAGAGGAUAGAUAUAAGGGGAGGUUAUGCAGGCUCAUUUUGAAAGGGGAAAAAGCUGUGCUGUGAACUGUGAUUUCUUUAUACCACACCAACAUAUGUUUGAUCCCUGAUUUAGUUUUGUAGCUUCAGUCUCCCUUUGUGUAAGUGUGCAUCAGUGCCCUGGUGGUUAAGGAGUAGUUGUCAUUUCAACAUAAAUUUUCCUGCUCUCCUAGAAAGCUGGAUCAAGCCACUUCUUGUAUGCUGAGGAGGCAAGGUAAAUCUCUUCAGAUAAUUGCUACACAUCAUUUGAUGACCCCACUCUGGGCCAAAGGUCUCCAGGGUAAAGGUUUUCAUGCUUUCAUAAACCUAAACUUCUGAGGAGGACAAUGGAGACAGACCAGUGGUUUAAAUAAAUCUCCAGAGUACCACUGGAGUUGCAGCUAUUAACUGAGCAUGUUCAUCAAUUCUGCCUAGUAAUGACAGCCCAAAACCUAUAGCAGCUCUUUGUGAGGUGCAGGUGAGGUCUGGUGACUUUGCAUAUUCUGGAGAGUCCUCUUCCAAACUUUGGCACAACAGGAAUGGUCACCGCUAAAGAACAGAUGGUUUAAUGCCACAAAAAGCUCCAGUUCAUUGGGCAGUGGAAUAAAUUUGAAGCAUAUCUCAUGUAUUUCACAAAGAUAAUGUAAACCUAUUAUUUAAUAGUCAGUUAAUACUAGUCAUAUUAGUUAAUAUUUAUGAAGUGUUUUAAUUUUAAAAUUUAUUUUAAGUUCCCAGAGAAAUCAUUAUGAAGUUGCUGUAGAUGUUAUUAUUGCUAUAACUGAGAGGAACAAUAGGGUUCUAUAAUCUACACAAAUGCUAAUAUUGUUUUGUUUCUUAACAGUACUUAUGUGCUUUAUAAAAUGUUGUGUAUUGUUCUCUGUGUCCUCCGAUCCAUGGUAACUUUAUAAUGAUAUAAAACAUUGACAUUCGGGGAUUGGUUUUUACUGUCUUCUUUCAUACAGACUUCCAUAGAGGAUUUGUUAAUGGUAUAUGUGUGUGUUUGAAUUAAACCCUUUAAUGCUAGGGGAGGAGAUCAGUUUGACGUGGAAUUCAACUGCUGUUGUUUCUGUAAGGAGAAAAGGCCUGCUGGUUUUAAGUGUCUUUGAGUAUAUCUGGUUGACGGAACAGUUUCCUCAAGGAAGUAUUCAUUCAGUCAAUGUCCUGAAGGGUUAAGAAAACAGAAACCCAUAGUCUUAGUGAGUUGUUGUUAUGUACGUUGCCAAGGGAACUGUAGCUGGAAUGUUUAAAUGCGUUGUUUCUCCCCAGACCCACAGGAGUGGAGCUUGAGUGUCUUGGUGUGCCCUAAUCCUCUCAAUUAGUUUUUGUGUGGUGGGGGGCUUAUGAGGCUGAAUCAGACUAAAUACUUGUUAGUGACACUAGGUAACAUUCCCACCAUGCUGGAUGGAGUGAGUUUAUCAUCAUGCUCAUCACUCAUGAGAAUUACAACCAAAAGCAGAAAAGGGAGUAUAUUGCUCUUAUUGCUUCUCCCUGGACCCCACGGACUUCCUUUAGUAAUGUAUGUUAUAGAAAUUAAUGAUACCAAGGAGCUCUCCAUAAUACUUAGGUAAGAGAAAUCAUGAAGUUCAUAGAUCUUGACUCACAUCUUUAGUAUCUGUUUUGUUUUGCCUUACAUGCCAUUUAACUUGCUUCACUGGUGUAAAGCUGGAGGAACUGCUGUUGAAAAUUACUGUAUCAACAGAGGAGGUAAAUUUUAGCCUUGUUUACAUAUAAAGGGUCUUGCAUUAUGACAGGUUAGUCUGCAGAAAGUAAUCAAGCACUCCUUAUUGCCAGAUCAAUUGCUGUAAGAAAAAUACCCAAAUGUAUGUAUCUGUAGAGGUUGACUGUGCCCUAGAUCUUUCCAGAAGCUGGGAACAACACUCCUUUUAUUGUGCCAUCACUCUCAAAUAUUGGGCCUGUUCUUCCACCACGCUUUUUUCAUGAGUUGUUGUCAGCACCCAGUUGGGUCAAAACUACCUGAGCAGCACUCAAUCCCUUGUUGAGUCAAACAUUUUUCCAAGCACAAACUGACCUACACUUUGACUGAUUUAUGUAUUUCUUCUGGUAUGUGGGAGGAUUUGCAUACAGGGGAAUGUUUUCACUUUUGUACUUGUACCUCCUUCUAUCACUCAACACACAGUUUUUAAUACAGUCCCAGAUAAUUCUGUCUUAAUAUACUUUGAGCCAAGUCUUGCUCCAAUGGACAUGGAAAAUACAGAUUACCUUCUCCUUACAGCUGCCUGUCAGGCACUGGAAAGCUCAGUGCUUUCCCAAGGCAUGGUUUCUAAACACCUGAUAAUUCUUGUUGCCUUUUAUGGCUCCUAAGCAGGACCCACAUCUUGAGCUAUGGCUCCUGAAGCAGAUAAAAUCUCCAUCCUGUCAGUGUUGGGCAGAUUACACACAUUUUACACAUGAAAGUCCUGUGCAUAUGUCCUGCUGUGAAAUUUCCUUUUUUGUUUCUGUCUCAGUAUGACACCAUUGAUCAACAGGCCUUUCUUUCUGCACCCAGAUCAAACAGUGAGCUUACUCUUCAUCAGGUCCUGGGGUCCUCAUCCUCCAGUUGUCCAGACUGAAAGUCAUCUGAACUACAAAACAGUGAGGGAGACUGAUUCACACUUGAGUGUUCUACAGGCAGUGAUUCCAAAACUUUUUUCAAGCUCUUAGAUUUAUAAAAGUUAGGAAACCAGAUGAUAGUAAUAUAGUGAUAGUAAAAUCCUGGAGAGUCAAAGCUUCCAUCAGUGGUCAGAGGCCAAAUGUCCUAUUUCCACUAUGAUCAGAAUGAGCUCUGGGAUGCUGACAGCACACAUUUCCCAACUGUGAUGAAUCUGAUGAUUUAAAAUAAAAGAACUAAGAAAUAAAAGCCAAAUAUUGAUCAAA